rnacentral:rRNA from 2 species
UAUACCGUGAAACUGCGAAUGGCUCAUUAAAUCAGUUAUCGUUUAUUUGAUAGUACCUUACUACUUGGAUAACCGUGGUAAUUCUAGAGCUAAUACAUGCUGAAAACCCCAACUUCGGGAGGGGUGUAUUUAUUAGAUAAAAAACCAACGCCCUUCGGGGCUUCUUGGUGAUUCAUGAUAACUUCACGGAUCGCAUGGCCUUGCGCCGGCGACGGUUCAUUCAAAUUUCUGCCCUAUCAACUUUCGAUGGUAAGGUAUUGGCUUACCAUGGUUUCAACGGGUAACGGGGAAUUAGGGUUCGAUUCCGGAGAGGGAGCCUGAGAAACGGCUACCACAUCCAAGGAAGGCAGCAGGCGCGCAAAUUACCCAAUCCCGACACGGGGAGGUAGUGACAAUAAAUACUGAUACAGGGCUCUUUUGGGUCUUGUAAUUGGAAUGAGUACAAUUUAAACCUCUUAACGAGGAACAAUUGGAGGGCAAGUCUGGUGCCAGCAGCCGCGGUAAUUCCAGCUCCAAUAGCGUAUAUUAAAGUUGUUGCAGUUAAAAAGCUCGUAGUUGAAACUUGGGCCUGGCUGGCAGGUCCGCCUCACCGCGUGUACUUGUCCGGCCGGGCCUUUCCUUCUGGAGAACCUCAUGCCCUUCACUGGGUGUGCUGGGGAACCAGGACUUUUACUUUGAAAAAAUUAGAGUGUUCAAAGCAGGCCUUUGCUCGAAUACGUUAGCAUGGAAUAAUAGAAUAGGACGUGCGGUCCUAUUUUGUUGGUUUCUAGGACCGCCGUAAUGAUUAAUAGGGACAGUCGGGGGCAUCAGUAUUCAAUUGUCAGAGGUGAAAUUCUUGGAUUUAUUGAAGACUAACUACUGCGAAAGCAUUUGCCAAGGAUGUUUUCAUUAAUCAGUGAACGAAAGUUAGGGGAUCGAAGACGAUCAGAUACCGUCGUAGUCUUAACCGUAAACUAUGCCGACUAGGGAUCGGGCGAUGUUCUUUUUCUGACUCGCUCGGCACCUUACGAGAAAUCAAAGUU